rnacentral:tRNA from 1 species
GCCGAAGUAGCUCAGUUGGCUAGAGCGCCAGAUUGUGGUUCUGGAGGCCCUGGGUUCGAGCCCCAGCUUCGGCA